GAUGAAGAACGUAGCGAAAUGCUAUAAGUAGUGUGAAUUGCAGAAUUCAGUGAAUCAUCGAAUCUUUGAACGCACAUUGCGCCCUUUGGUAUUCCAAAGGGCAUGCCUGUUCGAGCGUCAUUUGUACCCUCAAGCUUUGCUUGGUGUUGGGCGUCUUGUCUCUAGCUUUGCUGGAGACUCGCCUUAAAGUAAUUGGCAGCCGGCCUACUGGUUUCGGAGCGCAGCACAAGUCGCACUCUCUAUCAGCAAAGGUCUAGCAUCCAUUAAGCCUUUUUUUCAACUUUUGACCUCGGAUCAGGUAGGGAUACCCGCUGAACUUAAGCAUAUCAAUAAGCGGAGGA
rnacentral:misc_RNA from 1 species